AUGGAUCGUCAUGUAUUGACAUUCAGCUUUCUGCUAAUUAGUGUCACAGUGUCUGAGGGAGAAAUUGUUCUCACCCAGUCUCUAGCAUCCAUGACUGCAUCUCAAGAGGAGAAGGUCACCAUGACCUGCAGGGCCAGUUCAAGUAUAGUCUCCAGUCACUUGCACUGGUAUCAGCAGAAAUCUGGAGGCUCCCCUACACUCCUAGUUUAUGGCACAUCCAAACUGACUUCUGGAGUCCAAGCUGGCUUCUGUGGCAGUGGGUCUGGGACCUCUUACUCUCUCGCAAUCAGCAACUUUGAAGCUGAAGAUGUGGCCACUUAUUUCUCUCAACAGAGGCAUAGUAGCCCACCCACACAGUGAUAGAGUCUUGAACAAAAACUCUUUGCCUACCUGGAGCACAGAUACUUCCUCCUAGAGAUGAAACACGGCCUUAUGUUCUAUUGCAGUAAUCCAUAAAAUAAACGGCAAUUUACAGACUACUUACUAGGCCAUUUGCAGCUUUUGGUAAAUUAGUGUCUCCAUAAUAUCCCACUGUACUUCACUGUUGCUCUUGUUUGGCCACCAUUUGUUUAUUCUCUGUUUUGGUUCUAUUUUUGUUUCUAUGAUUUGUUGAUGGGAAGUGUAGCAGGCAUUUCCCUUCAGCUGUUUUACAGGAGAUCUCAUAGCAGUCUUCACACUUGGUUUAUUCUAAUUACACUGAUUGCAGGAUCUUAUCUGGCAGGUUGUUCUCCUUCAAGAUAGUCAGUUCCUAAAAGUA